rnacentral:rRNA from 1 species
AGAGUUUGAUUAUGGCUCAGGAUGAACGCUAGCGACAGGCUUAACACAUGCAAGUCGAGGGGCAGCACGGGAGUAGCAAUACUUGGUGGCGACCGGCGCACGGGUGAGUAACGCGUAUGCAACCUACCUAUCAGGAGGGGAAUAACCCGGCGAAAGUCGGACUAAUACCGCAUAAAACAGGGGCACCGCAUGGUGAUAUUUGUUAAAGAAAUUCGCUGAUAGAUGGGCAUGCGUUCCAUUAGGUAGUUGGUGAGGUAACGGCUCACCAAGCCGACGAUGGAUAGGGGAACUGAGAGGUUGGUCCCCCACACUGGUACUGAGACACGGACCAGACUCCUACGGGAGGCAGCAGUGAGGAAUAUUGGUCAAUGGGCGGGAGCCUGAACCAGCCAAGUCGCCGUGAAGGAAGAAGGAUCUAUGGUUCGUAAACUUCUUUUGCAGGGGAAUAAAGUGCAGGACGUGUCCUGUUUUGUAUGUACCCUGAGAAUAAGGAUCGGCUAACUCCGUGCCAGCCGCCGC